UGCCUCACCUCCAUCGCCGGUCGUCUUCUCCGAUUCACCCGCCCGCCGCUGGAGUCACGCUCGCCGCUCGAUCUCUGCUUCGCUCGCCCUCCCUGCUUCGCUCGCCGUCCCUGCCUCGCUCCCUGCUUCUCUCCCUCCAUCGCCCGCCGCUGGAGUCACGCCGCGCUCGCUCGCCCGCCAGCAGCAGCGGCAGUGCAGCCUCCAGUUCCUGUUCGGCUCGCCGCACUCCAUCGCCCGCCGUCGUUCCAGUUCGGCUCGCCGCACUCCACCGCCGUCGCCGCCUCUGUCACUUCAGUCCGGCUCGCCGCACUCCACCGCCGCCGUCGUUCAGCCAUGAGCUUGUCUACCACAGGAUGCUCUAAAUCAAAGGUUAGAUUUUGAUUUUGAGCAUGUUUAUAUUCGAAAAUUAUAUUCUGAUUUGAGCAUUGUUGUUCGAUUCUGCCCCUGAUUUUGAUGCACUUGGAGUUGAUUCUUGUGGGAUAAUUGUUGUUCGUUUCUGCCCCUGAUUUUGAGCAUGUUAAUAUUGACGACAUAUUGUGUUGGCUGUCUGCUGUACUUGUUUGAUGUCUGCUGUACUUAUGACGACAUAUUAGGUUUAAGUGGAUAUCUCAUGUAUUCUUGUUUAGUAGCCUAGACUAAGCCAAAUGUUGCUAUACUUGUUUGAUGUUUGCUUUUGUUUUAUAUUUUCAUCUUCACGAUGAAUUUUGUAAGGUUAUCAGAGAGGAAUAUGCUUACAUAUUUUAUGAUUAUGAAGUUAGAGAUUUAUGAUUUGUUUUGUUUUUGUAGGAGAGUGAAAAUAAGUUGAAUGAAGAAGAGUUUGUUGAACAACUUGUGAAUGUGAUUGUGCUUGAAGAUGAUUCCACCAAAGCUAAAGCCGUUGAGACCACGGAAGUGAAAGUAGAAGAUGGUAAAACGGCCAAAAAACUUACUUCUAAAGCUUGGGAUCAUUUCAAGAUAAUAAUGGUGAAUGGUGUUCAAAAAGCAAAAUGCAACUACUGCACGGCUAUAUUGUCUUACAAUGGUGCAUCAGGAACUUCUCAUCUACUUAAGCAUGCAAAUCUCGUCUGUCCAAAGCGACACUUACGGCUUGGAUUAGGUCAAACAAAGUUGAAUGUUAAGACUGGAGUUGAUGGGACCACUGUAUUGGAAUUGAAGGAUAAGGAAAAUCCUGUCAAGUUUGAUCAAGAGACUUCAAGGAGGGACUUGGUUAGUAUGGUCGUCAUACAUGAGUAUCCUUUAUCGAUAGUGGAUCAUGUGGGAUUUAGAAAAUUUGUGAAGGGGCUUAAUUCAUCUUUCAAAAUGAUAUCGAGGAAUACACUUAAGAGCGAUAUUAUGAAGAUAUAUGAUGAUGCCAAGAAUUCCUUGAAAGCUCUGUUCGAUUCCACAGAUGGGAGAGUUGCACUAACCACCGACAUGUGGACUACUUCAAAUCAGAAAAAGGGAUACAUGGCUAUCACCUCACACUUUAUUGAUCAACAAUGGAGCUUACGUAAUCGAACUUUUAGGUAAUGAGCUUUACUUUAAUUACUAGUGUUGAUUUACUUCCUACUUGUUGUCUAUUGUUUAUUUGAGUUUUAAAUAUUUAUUAAUAAUUAUAAAUUGUGUGUUAAUAUAGGUUUUGUUUUGUGCCUUCUCCACAUACCGCACCUAUUCUUGCAAAGAUAUUAAUGGAUUGCAUAUGUUAUUAUUCUUUGGAGAAUAAAAUCUCAGCGGUGGUUCUUGAUAAUGCGAGCACAAAUGAUGCAAUGAUGACNCUUGAUAAUGCGAGCACAAAUGAUGCAAUGAUGACUGUUUUGAUGGAUAAUUUAGAAUCUAAUAGUUUAAUGUUGGGUGGAUUGUUUUUGCAUUUGAGGUGCAGUGCUCAUAUCUUAAAUUUGGUUGUGAAAGAUGGCUUGAAUGUGAUUGGUAGUGCAAUUGAUAAAAGUCCGGGAGUGUGUUAUAUUUUGGAUGUCUACUCCUAAAAGAAUUGAAAAAUUUGAGGAUGCUUGUCGGCUUUUGAAUAUAUGUAGGCCUAAAAGGUUGGUUCUUGAUUGCAAAACUAGGUGGAAUUCCACUUUUUUGUAUGCUUCAAGCUUCUUUACCUUUUAAGGAUGUGUUUACAAAAUUGAAAUGCUUGAAUAGGAAGCUGAAAUUUGUUGUUCCUACUGAGCAUGAAUGGAUGUUGGCAAGUCUUGUUUGUGAGAAGUUGGAGAUUUUCUACAAGGCUACUAAAGUCUUUUCUGGUAGAAAUCAUCCAACUUCUAAUCUGUUUUUCGUAAAGUUUGUGAAAUUAAGAUUGCUUUAAGGCGGUGGAUGCAAAGUGAUGUUGAUGUUAUUAGAACAAUGGCUAAGAAUAUGGUGGAGAAGUUUGACAAAUAUUGGGACCAAAUUGGUGGGGUUUUGGCUGUUGCUUCUGUUUUAGAUCCUAGAAAUAAGAUGGAUUGUGUGGAGUUCUAUUUCAAAAGGUUGUAUGGAGAUGGACCUAAUGGUGCUGAAAAGGAACUCAAAAAAGUAAGGGAGAACCUUGAUAGACUUGUGAUUGAAUAUCAAAUGAGGAUUGAAAGUGAAAAAAAUAAUGAACUUUGGAAAGGAAAAGAAGUAGGUGGUGAUGAGUGUGGCGAUGAGGAGGAUACUUAUGCUCAAGCCAAGAGAACAAAGAAAAGAAAGGUGCAUGUGAGGGGUGAAGUUGAACACUACUUAGAUGAUGAUCCUAUACCCGAGAAUGAUGCCUUUUGACAUUCUUGAUUGGUGGAAAGGGAUCAAAUGUGUCCUACUUUGCAGAAAUUGCCAAGGAUAUUCUUGCUAUUCCCGUAUCUUCAGUGGCCUCGGAAAGUGCUUUUAGCACGGGUGGGCGAGUUGUUAGUGCUCAUCGUUCUCGACUUCACUCUCGAACCGUGGAGGCAUUGAUGUGUUUACAAAAUUGGAUGAUUGAUGAUGUCAAAGGUUAUAUUUUAUUUAUUUUUAUCUUUCUUUACAUUUCAUUUGUCAAUAUUCCUUAUUCAUAAUAUUUUUCAUUUUUUGGCUUAGGUGAAUUGGAUGACACAAGUGCUUGUUCCACAGUUAAUGAAGAUUAUGAUGAAGAUGGAG
rnacentral:lncRNA from 1 species